rnacentral:rRNA from 1 species
GACGAACGCUGGCGGCGUGCUUAACACAUGCAAGUCGAACGGAAAGGCCCUGCUUUUGUGGGGUGCUCGAGUGGCGAACGGGUGAGUAACACGUGAGUAACCUGCCCUUGACUUUGGGAUAACUUCAGGAAACUGGGGCUAAUACCGGAUAGGAGCUCCUGCUGCAUGGUGGGGGUUGGAAAGUUUCGGCGGUUGGGGAUGGACUCGCGGCUUAUCAGCUUGUUGGUGGGGUAGUGGCUUACCAAGGCUUUGACGGGUAGCCGGCCUGAGAGGGUGACCGGCCAAUUUGGACUUGGGAUACGGCCCAGACUCUUCCGGAGGGCAGCGUUGGGAAUUUUGGCCCAUUGGCCGAAGGCCUGUUGCGGCACCGCCGGGUGGGGAUGACCGGCCUUCGGGUUGUAACCCCCUUUCGCCUGUACCAAGGCGUGGGGAACGUAAUUGGUUAAGAAGCACCGGCUAACUACGUG